rnacentral:misc_RNA from 1 species
CCGAGUUUACAACUCCCAAACCCCUGUGAACAUACCAAUUGUUGCCUCGGCGGAUCAGCCCGCUCCCGGUAAAACGGGACGGCCCGCCAGAGGACCCCUAAACUCUGUCUCUAUAUGUAACUUCUGAGUAAAACCAUAAAUAAAUCA